rnacentral:rRNA from 1 species
UACAGAGGAGCCAAGCGUUGUCCGGAUUGACUGGGCGUAAAGCGCACGCAGGCGGACGCGCGCGUGGGGUGUGAAAUCUGGCCGCUUAACGGCCAUGCGCCAUCCCAUACGGCGCGUCUGGAGUGAUGCAGAGGUCGAUGGAAUUGCCGGUGUAGUGGUGAAAUGCGUAGAGAUCAUGAGGAAGACCAGUGGCGAAGGCGGGUCUCUGGACAGUUCCUGACACUGAGGCACGAAGGCCAGGGGAGCAAACGGG